rnacentral:rRNA from 1 species
CACGAAGUUAGCCGGGGCUUCUUCUCCGGGUACCGUCAUUAUCGUCCCCGGUGAGAGAAUUUUACAAUCCUAAGACCUUCAUCAUUCACGCGGCAUGGCUGCGUCAGGCUUUCGCCCAUUGCGCAAGAUUCCCCACUGCUGCCUCCCGUAGGAGUUUGGGCCGUGUCUCAGUCCCAAUGUGGCUGAUCAUCCUCUCAGACCAGCUACUGAUCGUCGCCUUGGUGAGCCUUUACCUCACCAACUAGCUAAUCAGACGCGGGCCGCUCUAAUGGCGAUAAAUCUUUCCCCCGAAGAGCACAUUCGGUAUUAGCACAAAGUUUCCCUGAGUUAUUACCGAACCAAAAGGCACGUUCCCACGUGUACUCACCCGUCGCCACUAACUCCGAAGAGUUCGUUCGACUUGCAUGUGUUAGGCCUGCCGCCAGCGUUCGCUCUGUGCCAGGAUCGAAACUCU